GGCAAACGAACACGGGUGAUCAUCUGUCUCUGUAUAAACGAUCUUUGUAGCGCGGGGUCAUGUCGUCAGAGCUUCCAGGAGACUCAACGUAAACUUCGGAGGGCUGUAGCUCAGCAGCCCAUUGGUCAAUCGGAAUGAUUGACACGUCUGUAGAACCGCCAGAGCCAGUAGAAUCGACGGACAGCGCAUGACGCCAUUUCACACCCGACUUCCUCUGCUGGAGACUAAGAAGGACGCAACAGGAGGAUUAGUAUCUUGAAAUGACGAACGGUCUUUGUGCUAGCUAACGGAAUCGGAUUUAUGGACCAAAACACAACUUUUCCUGGAAAUACUUCGACGUCAUUUUCUUUACAAAACACAGGUCCUGUGAGGACUGAGGCUAUUAGAGGAGCCGAUACGGAGUUUUAAAGAGCCACGGCAGCCCAGAGAAACAAUAAGAGAAAAACAAGGACAAGUGUGACCAGCCACCGCCCGGACAUCGACGUGUGAGGAAUCACGGAACGUUGGACUCAGAAGUGCAGAACGCGGCAAGAGAACACGAACUACGGUGGUGAGUCGACGAUCAGGAGAGAAAGUGGCGAUCGGACUGGUGCUCAGGGAACUGCUGGGAGGGACUCAUUAAAGCACAUCGGCACCAGGACCCGCGCGGAGGAUGUGAGGUCUCCUGCCCUCAAGAGUGAGGCUCAUUAAAACGUGCUGACACACUUGGUGACCCAACGCACAUCGGCCGAUUGCAGGCACUGCAAAACACUACCGAGGGAAUAGCCAGGAAGCUGACCCUGACCCUGACCCUGACCCGACCCGACGUGACCUGUCCUGACCUGACCUGACCUGACCCGGCUCAACCCACGCUGCUGGUUGACCCACGCGUCCCUGUACUGCACGGUGGCUAACAGGCUGCCGAGCUGCAGGCUCUCGGGUGAGAAGCCUGGCUGUCGGUUCACGAGCUGAUUACCGAUGUUGGAAAACAGACACACACACACACACACACGCACACACACACACACUGAGCUGUGAUUACUUCGCCUCCAAUAACCCCCUCAUCUAAUUUGGAGGUGCUUCACUUUAAGAGCCUCUAACAGGUUGUGAUUAUGAAGACUUUGUAAUUUUCAGAUCUGCACACGUGUUCAAAUUAGUGUUUUUUUGACACUCACGCCUACAAAAACACAUUCAUUUCGGUUCGCGUUUUGUAAUUAGAUAACUGUUGUUUGGCCCGAGCAAAGUGGGAUCAUAUUUAUUGACAUCAUUUCUCAACUCUCUCUUUCUCUCCCUCCAUAUCCCCCAACGCUCACAUUGAAUAUGAGCUGUAGUUUUAAUUAAGCCAUUUUGAAUUGGGAAUUUGUUUGGAGAGUGCUGAUUGCCGAUGCACAGAUUGGAAGAACUUCAGAGAUGGUGCACUGACUAUUGGCCUUCCGCAGCAGCCUCCCUUUCCCUCCAUUAUUUAGGCUCGGCCUCCGCUACGCCAGUAGCUCGGGAAACAACAGAUGUUCCUCCGUGUUCCCCGACAGAGUCGGCACGAGCGGGCUGAGCGGCUGCAUGUGGCGCCUCAGCCCCCGGCAGCUCUCCAGACAAAAUGAAAUUGUGAAUUUCCUUUUUCGGCGUCGCCUCUUCAUGUGAUUCCGCUGAACUCAAUCAGACCGCGGGCAUUUGAAUUAUUCAUCUGGGAUCAUUUUCUAUUUUUUAUUAGAUAUUUUGAUAUUCUACCUCUCCCCUGACGCCUUUGACUCUUGCUGCUGCUGUUACAAGUGAGUUCCCGCUGCGUGGGAUGAAUAAAGUCUUAUCUCUUCAUCCUGCAAGUCAUCAACCACCAGUGUCUGGACGCCAUGGGGGGGCCGACGCCCUCGAUCACAAUAUCUCCCCAUUGAGUCUAAUCGCCAAAGGCUAUCAGGACUUCUCUUAUCAAAUAUAAUCUGUUACAUCUGUAAUAAAUAAUCAUUCUUCAUUCA